UAAACUGUCUCCAGAUAAGAAAGUUCUAGAGCAACUAUCCUAUAUUUUUGAAGAAAAAACAAUUCUAUCUGGGGAAGUUUUAUUCUUCAGAAAGAAAAACUUACGGAAUGGGAAAAUCAACCCUAUCUAAAUCAACCCUGACUAGUCAACCCAAGUCAACUCUGAGUAUCUCUGAGGUGAAAGAUGAAGCAUGCUGAUGGGUGUCAAAUCCAAUCUUGUAUGAAUAAAAUAAGCAUCGGGGAAGCAUAGAUGUCAUCUUCUAAGGCAAACAUUCUGAGGAUCUGGCAGCAUAAAUCCAUCAGUUAAUUUAUAAUAUAAUUGGACACCACUAUGGCCAAAGUAAAAGACACGGCCAAAUCUGGAUCACCUUACAAUUUUCAAGAUGCUUUCAAGAUCCCCCUUGUCCUGUUAUGGCUGAGGGAAGCAGUGAUGGGAGUAGGCACCAUAGUCUGUAACCCCUCCCCUUCUGUCUCGGUACAGACAAAGCAGAUAAGCUGGGGCUCUGGUAAUCUUACACAGUUUACUUCAUGCCAAUUUUUAUGCUCCAUGAGAUCCAGGUAAACUGAGAAUGCUGUGCAUCUCCUACAUCUAACUACAUCAUUUCUAAAUACUUAGAAAUAUUUUAAGUUUUAAUACUUAGAAGUAUUUUAAGUUACCGUAAAGACUUUGAAACUGUGACACAGGUACCCUCCCCUCUGAUGUUUUUCCUAGUCAUCCUGGGUCUCAGGUAGCCACAUGGCACCCAAGAUGGGUAUGAAGGGCAGGUCCUGUCUGAGUCCUGAAUUUACGCACAGCUGUAGACCUCAUGACAGAAGACAGAAAUGGGAAGACAUUGCCUGGAGGACGGAACCCUCCCAAAAUAGCCAGGAGGCAAAGCUAGGGCAGGGGAAAAGGGGAUAUAUUGGGCUUGAUUCUGCCUUGCAGCUGGUGGCCUAGGCAUUGAGAAUGUGUCCUCAUGCCUCACUGUGGGCAUACAUCCAGACCUCUGACUCCAGAGGCUCAAAACCAAAAACAAGCAAGCAAGUAUCAAAUUAUAUUUAACUGAUAAUUUUGAAGCCAUUUCUAUUUUAGUAACAAUUUACAACUACCUUUAUUUACUAAAUAUUACAUACAAGUAACACAUAUAGACACAGACACAAAGACAGAAGCAGAUAUUAUAGCUUACAUAAAGGAUUGUCAUUUGCUGGCUUUUGAAUAGUUUUUCUUUUCCCCAUUCAGACUAUCAUUCUUCCAUUACCUGUUUCAUUGCCCUAAGGAGUUGUUAGCUAGGCAACCUUAAAUUUGCAUUUCUAAUGGGACAACUCUUAGGUGAAAUAAGGUAGAAAAUUUAUAUCUCAAAAGCACAACCUAAGACUUUAGGCGUACAUAUUGUACCCUCAUUUGCUCAAACCAAGGAAAAAAUGAUGUGAGUAAAAAAUUUCAGUUAAGAUGUCCAGAAAAGCACCUUAAACAAAGGUUUGACUUGUUACAUAAAUUUAAAACUAUGGUAAAAGUUUCUAAUAUACACAGGCAGACACCCUUACAAAUGGAGAUUUCCUUUAUAGAUGUAAAUUUCUUUUACAGAAGAGUUUCAGGAUAGCCAGUUAAAUGCCAGGAAGGUAUAUUUUAGUUGGGUAGGUGGUUUAUUUGACUUAGCUACUGUUUCUUGGCUAAAAUUACUGAGUUCAGGGUAGAUGGAGCCCAUUGAGGAAUAGGGCAAAGAAAACAGUACUCUGUGCUUGGACUCAGACUGGAUAGAUCUAAAAAAGAAGCAAGUCUGCUUUACCCACUGGUUUACAUUUUAUCAACAUUUUAUCCAGGAUAUCGUUAUUUUCACUCUUGAGGCAGGAUAGUGUUUAUGCCAAAAGUUUAGCAGAUUUAAUUAUUCUUGUGAAUUAUUCACCUGAGCUUUUUAUUUGCCUUUUUUUUUUUUUUUUUUAAAGACAGGGUUUCCCUCUGUGUAAUCACAAAGGCACAGUCACAGCUGAUUUGCAGCCUUUACCUCCUGGGCUCAAGUGAAUUUCCCACCUCAGCCUCCUGAGUAGCUGGAACUACAGGUGUACACCACCACAUCCAGCUGAUUUUUAAUUUUUUGUAGAGAGGAGAUCUCACUAUGUUGCAUAGGCUUGUCUUGAACUGCUGUGCUCAAGCGAUCUUCCUGCUUUGAUCUCCCAACGUGUUGGGAUUACAGGCAUGAGCCACCACACCUGGCCCUAUUUGCCUUUUAUGAAGUCUUUUAAUAAAGCAAUAAAAAUAUUGAAAUGUUUUUAGAAGCUUCUGCACAUCAAUAGGCAUCCUUGAAGACUAAUUCAGGACCCCUCAUUUUUAAGUGCUGUGUUGUUCAUUAGGAACGGUCCAUUGUAAUUUUAAGUUACAAAGAUUUUGCCAUUUCUGUAAGUAGUUAUUUCUUCUGAGGCCUAAUAUUUAUACAUUCUACCUUAUAGCUAGAAGGUAGAAUACGGUGUUCUUCAGAUACUAAGGAUCCAAUAUUUCCCUAGAAUCCUGGAUUUGGUCCUCAGAUCCCCUUCAUCAAUUUAGUUAAUGAUUUUUCCCUACCUAAGGGUACAAGAAAAAGAAUGUAGAACACAAAAAUCUCUGCAAAUUUCUGAAGUCUGCACCCACUGUAAUAUUACCAUUUCUGCUAGUUUCUGCCUGAUCCUGGACAUCUGCAGCCUCUUAACUGAAUCCAAGUCAGUUAAUUAUCAGAUCCAAUCCAAUCAUGGAUCCAGUCCAGUUUCUGUUGUGACUUCCAAACCCAGUUCGGAUCAGAAGUUUGCUCAAACUCGGUUCCAAACAGAAAUCUGUCGAGCUUCAGAAUCUCAGCGAGAACUUACCACGAUAUCAGUUGCUUCCAGAAAGCAAUGGACAUCGUGAGUCUGAGGGGUACCUUGCUUGGUCACUCCAUGCUCCUGGGCAUGACAUCUGUUGAAAACCUUAGACAUAUUAAAUUUAACAGAGUUUAACUGAGCAAAGAAUGAUUCACAAAUUGGGUAGCCCAGGAACCAGAAUAGGUUCAGAGAGGCUCUGGUGCAGUCCCAUGAUUGAAGAUUUAUGGACACAAAAAGGAAAGUGAUGUACAGAAAACAGAGAUGAGGUACAGAAACAGCCAGAUUUGUUACAGUUCGGGCAUUUGGAGUAUUUGAACAUAGUUUGAACAGUUGGCUGCCUUUGAUUGACUGAAACUCGGUAAUUAGCACAAAAGUAGGUUACGAUCUGUUUAUACAUCUAGUUAAGUUUCAGUUCACUGUGUACAGAGAAACCUUUAGGCCAAACUUAAAAUAUGUAAGGAGGUGGCUUUAGGUUAGACUUAAUUUAACAGAUGUUAUAUAUAUUGGUUUUCAUCCACUGUUCCUGUCUUGUAACUCCCAUAGCCCUUGUUAAAGUCUUUUUGUUACAAUGUUGGGUGUGUCAGGUCUCAUGUGUCUAGACUUAAUUUAACAAAUGUUACAUAUAUUGGUUUUCAUCCAUUGUUCCUGGCUUGUAACUCCCAUAGCCCUUGUUAAAGUCUUUUUGUUACAAUGUUGGGUGUGUCAGGUCUCAUGGGCAGGCCUCAGGAAACAGAAUUUCUCAGACUUUCUCCUAUCCAUCUCUCAUCUGCCCCAAGACAAGACCCUAUAAUCUUCCCUGCCUUUCUGAUUGGGAGUUAUAAGACCCUCCUCAGAGGGCGUCCCACCCUAUCCUUGGAGGAAGGAAUGCUGAUAUUUUGAAAUUUCCAUAAAAACCCAGGAGGACUAGGUUCCAGAAGCUUCAGGAUGGCUCAACACGUGGAGGUUCUUGGAGGGUGGCCUGCACAGGAAGGGCAUAGAAGCCCUGUGCCCCUUCCCCCAUACCUCACUCUGUGCAUCUCUUUAUCUGUAAUAUCCUUUACAAUAAACCAGUAAAUGU
rnacentral:lncRNA from 1 species